rnacentral:rRNA from 1 species
GCCAGCAGCCAUAUCACUCUGCAACUCACAACUGGCAGCCCACUGAAGCCUGGUCAGUACCUGGAUGGGAGACCUCCUGGGAAAAACUAAGGUUGCUGCUGGAA